UUUCCGGCUAUGCUCAGUCCUGUCCGGCCAGUCCCGCCUUGCGCGCCCAUUUCGAGCCCGAGUUUCAAGCUCGACUUUGCAGGCUCGAGAACCCGGAACAGAUUUUCCAGGACUGGGUUCUUGGGCAGUGGCUAUGGGGGCAGGAAUGGCGCAGCUCGAGGGUUACUACUUCUCGGCUGCUCUGAGCUGUACCUUUUUAGUGUCCUGUCUCCUCUUCUCCGCCUUCAGCCGGGCGCUGCGAGAGCCCUACAUGGACGAGAUCUUCCACCUGCCGCAGGCGCAGCGCUACUGUGAGGGCCAUUUCUCCCUCUCGCAGUGGGAUCCCAUGAUUACUACAUUACCUGGCUUAUACCUGCUGUCAGUUGGAGUGGUCAAACCUGCCAGUUGGAUCUUUGGAUGGUCUGAACAUGUUGUGUGCUCCAUUGGAAUGCUCAGAUUUGUUAAUCUUCUCUUCAGUGUAGGCAACUUCUAUUUACUAUAUUUGCUUUUCCGCAAGGUACAACCCAGACACAAGGCUGCCUCAAGUAUCCAGAGAAUCUUGUCAACAUUAACAUUAGCAGUAUUUCCCACACUCUAUUUUUUUAACUUCCUUUAUUAUACAGAAGCAGGAUCCAUGUUUUUUACUCUUUUUGCCUAUUUGAUGUGUCUUUAUGGAAAUCAUAAAACUUCAGCUUUGCUUGGAUUUUGUGGCUUCAUGUUUCGUCAAACUAAUAUCAUCUGGGCUGUCUUCUGCGCAGGAAAUGUCAUUGCACAAAAAUUAACGGAAGCUUGGAAGACUGAGCUACAAAAGAAGAAGGAAGAGAGGCUUCCCCCUAUUAAAGGACCAUUUUCAGAAUUCAGGAAAAUUCUUCAGUUUCUUUUGGCUUAUUCCAUGUCCUUUAAGAACUUGAGUGUGCUUUUCCUUUUGACUUGGCCGUACAUCCUUCUGGUGUUUCUGUUUUGUGUUUUUGUAGUUGUUAAUGGUGGAAUUGUUAUUGGCGAUCGAAGUAGUCAUGAAGCCUGUCUACAUUUUCCUCAACUCUUCUACUUUUUCUCUUUUACUCUCUUUUUUUCCUUUCCUCACCUAUUGUCUCCUGGCAAAAUUAGAGCUUUUCUUUCCUUAGUUUGGAAACGUAGAAUUCAGUUUUUUAUGAUCACCUUAGUCUCUCUGUUUUUAGUUUGGAAAUUCACUUAUGCUCAUAAAUACUUGCUAGCAGAUAAUAGACAUUAUACCUUCUAUGUAUGGAAAAGAGUUUUUCAAAGAUAUGAAAUUAUGAAAUACUUGUUAGUUCCAGUAUAUAUAUUUGCUGGUUGGAGUAUAGCUGACUCCUUGAAAUCUAAGUCAAUUUUCUGGAAUUUAAUGUUUUUCAUAUGCUUGUUUACUGUUACAGUACCUCAGAAACUGCUAGAAUUUCGUUAUUUCAUUUUACCUUAUGUUAUUUAUAGGCUUAACAUACCUCUACCACCUAUAUCUAGACUUGUUUGUGAACUAGGCUGCUAUGCAGUUGUUAAUUUCCUAACUUUUUAUGUCUUCCUGAACAAGACUUUUCAGUGGCCAGAUAGUCAGGACAUUCAGAGAUUUAUGUGGUAAUGUCAGAGAUAUCUUGAGUUCUAAAAAUAGACUUAUAUAGACUACCUCCACAAUGAACAAUUGAAGAGGUAAAAAUUACGGACUUUGUUUUAGGCACAGUGGUGAUCCACAGAUCACAUCAGAUUUUUUGUGUUUUAAACAUACAUAAUAAAUCCAAGGAACUGAUAAAGAACUGAGAAAAGUUUAAGACUUGCUCCAUAAGCCUGAAUAGUGGAAAAUGAAAUUGUUUACAGUUAUUUCAUGAUAUCUUUUUGAUACUGCUGACCACUCAAAAAGCUUGAAAACAUUUUACAGGUACAAGUUUAAGAAAACUGAGCUUUGUAGUACUGAAACUUAUUUAUGAAUCCUCUUCAGAAAGCAAUAGCAGACAAGUAUUUGAAACAUAUUGACAAAUGAUCAGGUAAUGUUCUUGAUUAAAAUAUUUCAGUGAUUAUAAUUUGAAUCAUAAGGCAAAAUAGACUCAGAUAGUAAAUGUUAUAAAUUAGAGGCUCAUCUAUGUUUAUCUUGGAAUUAAGUUAAUUUUUGUUAAAAAUCUAGAAAUGAUCAAGCCCUUUGACUAAUUCUUUUUUUAAAAAAAUAUAUUUAUUUAUUUAAGUAAUCUUCAUACCUGAUGUGGGGCUCAAACUCACGACCCCAAGAUCAAGUCACAUGUUCUACUCACUAAGCCAGCCAGGUGUCCCCCUUUCACUGAUUAUUAAUAUGAAAUAUAUGAUGGCCAAAGAUAAAUUGUGUUGAUGAUAAUACCUUUUAAAAGGGAUUUUUGUUCAGAGAUACAUUAGUGUAUUCAUUUCUUCUGGUUGCUGUAACAGAUAACCACAAACUUGGUAGCUAUAAAAAUAUCUAAUUUCUAAAAUUAAGGUGUGGCCAGGUUGAUUUUUUCUAGAGGCUCUGGGAGAGAAUCUGUUCCAUGCUUCUAGCUUUUGGUGACUGUCUGCAGUCUUUGAUUUACAGCUGUGUCACUCCAAUCUCUGCCUCUGUCUUCACAUGGUCCUCUCUCUCUUAUAAGGACAAUGUCAUUGGGUUAGGGUUUACCUUAAUCCAGGAUGGUCUUAUGCCAAGACCUUUAAUUAAAUCUACAAUGACCCUUUUUCAAAAAUAAGGGCACAUUUAUAGGUUCCGUGUAGACAUCUUUUUGUGGGAUACUUUUCACCCACUAAAGUUACCAAAGGAUAUUUUAGGAUAAACCUCAUAAAAUUUGUAGGAAAAAAUUUCUUUCUUUGCUGAGAUAUUUUAAAUAAAAUUACGUCUUCACUAAGAGCUGAUUCUAAGGUUACAGAAUAACAAAAGUAAGGGUAAUUUGGUAUUUGAUUCCAUUAUCCAAAAUAGAAGUGAAAGGAAGUUUAGAGACCCAUUGAGCUAGUCUUAUUUUGUAGAUUAGGAAGCAACUGUUCAGAUAGGAAUUUUAUAUGAGUCUUUAAAUUCUGUGUCUACUGUUUCAUGUGAAUUCACUUGGUUGUCAUUCCUUUACAGAAAAGUAGUACUUGGACAUGUUUACUUUGACAUGCAAACUUAGAACUGUGAACAGAAUUUAUCUUUUAAUAUCAUUUUACAUUUGUAAACUUUUAAAUAACUGUGAACAAAUUACUUUAUCUUCAGUGUUAGAUUAUGGUUUCUCUGGGUUUUAAACAAUGGGUGGAUUUGGAAAAUAUUCUGCAUUUGCAAAUAUAAAAUUGUGUAGGUGAAAAUUACAGGUAUAGUCUUUAGUAAUAAGUAUAGGGCAGUCUUGUAUUCUGUUCAGUACUUAGUAUAUUGAUUCUCUAGUUGUAACAGUGAUUGUUGAGAGAUGUUUUUAACAACUCAUUUUUUUUUUGAUAAUUAGAUAAGAAAACAUGAAUUAUUAUCUUAUAAUGGAGAUCUGAGUUCCAGGAAGUCAAAAUAAACAACUUUCUUAUCUGAUACUAUUAAUGCAAGGCUUUUGUGACUCGGAAUAUUGUUGAGAUGAAAAAACUUCCCCUGUAACCCAGUCUGGCAACAUAAGGAAACCAUUCUACUCCAUAUUGGGGGAAUCACUGUUCCAGUUCAUUUAUACUGAUUUCUCUUUAACCGCUGGAGAAGCUAAAAUCAUGCAGACCAGGCAAGUCGCCCAAAGUCCGCAUCGCCACUGAAGAACAUUGAUUGGCCUUACUCCCAAACCUGUGAGUUUUUAAUUGAUACUCUGCCUCACUGUGAAAGUUUUUCAUUAAGAGAAGUAAAAUAUGGAGAGCUGGUCAUCUGUCUUUACUGUGCAUUAACCAGAACAUUCAUGGCAUAUUAUUGUUUGUAUUGGAUUUUGUAUUGUAAUAGUCAUUUUUUAAAAUGCUAGCAGCUGUUUAAAAGAGCAUGAACAGAUAGUUAUGUUGUAAGAGAAAUGGCUAAAAGAUUAGAGACAAUGUUUAACUUGGAGAAUUAGAGAUCCUACAACUUGAUAGGCUUUCAUAAUUAAAGAAUAAUUAUUUGGAAGAAGGAUUGGACUAGUCUUCAUUCCCUGAAGUGUAUAUCAAGGGCCAACAGAUUUCAACUAAUAAAAAAAUGUACAUUUUCUGUUUAGUCUCUGUAGGGGAAUGGAUCCAGAAAAAAGUAAGUUUCCCCUCUUUGGAGGCAAGAUUUCUAUUUAUCAGGAAUGCUUCAGAAGUGAUUGAGAUAGUAAGUAGAGUAAAAUGUUUUUAAGAUGCUUCACAACCUGGUGAUUUGAAAUUCAUGUUUGUUACAACUGACCUUUUUUUCAUGAACUGAUAAGUCGUGGUGAAGUAUUUCUGGUGACUUGCAUGCUGUCUCUAAUACAUUUUAAAUUUCUGAACAAAAAUUGUACUUCUAAUUCUGUUACCUUGUCUUAGAAAUAAAUUUGAGAUACACAAUUUAGUAGAGGUAUUUUUAUCUGUAAUGUUUAAGAGUACUGCUAAUAUAGUAUUAAAUUUGUUUUCUAUUUUUUUAAAUCCCCUUUACAUUCGUGAAGAGAAUGUGCUUCUAUUUGAAAAGGAUGUUCCUCUUAAUGAUAAAUAGGGCAAGCACUAUCUAUAAAAUGUUUUUAAAUGCAGUAUCCACUAGGUGGUGAUAUUGUACUACAUUUCUGAGUGUUCUAGUAAUUAAACUUUCUUAAUAGUCUGAAUUUACUUUUCUUAUAGUUUUAAGUUUUGAACUGCAAAGUAAUUUAUAGUUAUCCAUGUUUAUUUAUUAUGUUGUUCAGGAUAUUUUCUAAAUUCUGUGAAGCUAAAGUAAAUGUAAAAAACAAUCAUUUUUGUGUUUUGUAAUCCUGUAUUGAUUUAAUCUAACAUAUCUUCCUGUAUGACAGUUUUUACUUCAUAUGGCAUAGACAAGAUCUUUUCCCAUAUCAGUGAAGGAUGAUGGUGAAAAAUUUGGAAACUCCUCUAUUUCAUUGUAUUGGCCAGUGUUAUAAGUGCUUUACCCACAUUAUUUAUGCCUCAUAACAACCCUGUGAGAUCAGUACUGUUUUUAAUAUCUCCAGUCUAUACAUGAAGAAACUGAGUGUAGGGAGAUUAAAUAUUUUUCCCAAGAUUGCAAAAUAACUGGCUGAGCAGGGAUUCACAUCUAGGCAGGGUGACUCCAGAAUCCACGUUAACUGCUAUCAACUGAUGGGGGGAAGGGAGAAGACAUGGAUUCUACCCUCGAAUUCAUAGCAUUUCAGAAAGAAAAAUAAACCUGAGGAGUGUAGUUAUACUCCCUGAUUUUAUAAGUCAGCAUUGUGAGGCCCCCACUAAUUUGGCUAUCCCAGAGGCACAUAAUCUUCCAUCUGCCAUAUUACCUUCCAUUUUCUGGAGGGAAAAAACAAACCAAAAAACCCUCAAGAUUGGAGUCUUAGCCAUAGUUACACUGAAAUAAAGACCUUUGUUUCAAUUAGAUAAUUCCAGCUACCAAAGGCAGGAGCAUAGUUGUUUGAAAAUUAUUACUUAGUUUCUCUGAAGAGACUUUUAUUUGGAAGCAAAUUGUUAGUCAAACAUGAUACACUUUGGGAAUUUUAAAAAAAUUUUGACUGGAAAACUUAAUCUUUAAAGAAAUUUAUAAAUAUAUGUUGUAUAUAGAUGCUUUUAAGUUUUAUAUUUUGUUAGAUAACUGUUCUGUAAAAUUAUAUUGUGGGUUUAUGUCAUUUAAAACUGAUUUUUAAGUAAAUCUAUUUCUAAGAAUAAAAUACUUCUGUUUUCCGUUUUAAAAAGUUUGUUCAGAUAUCAUGGUUUCACAUUGCUUGUAAAUAAAUUCAGUUUUGUAAUAUUUUAUAAUUUAUUGUGUCUAACAUACUCUCUAAUUCUAACCUGGAUGCUAGUGGCUCAUUGUACUACUACCAGUUUUCCUUGUCUACCAUCCACCAAUCCUACCUUUGUU